UUCAUAUUUAAAAGCGCAACCCUCUGUUGUUAGGGAACACAAGAAGUUCGUAGUUGUUCUCCGGCUCGCAUGUUCUAGAGCGUCGAUCGUAUUCUCCGAUCGCUUAGCAUAUGGCCAGCAUCGGCGAGAGUUCUUCUUCUGCUCCCAAAUUCGCGGACGAAAAGCCAGUCUUAGUUAGGGUUAAGCGCAAAGCUUCCCAGUCUCGACUCGAUGCGUUAUGGCUGGAAAUCAAUGAGAGGCCACUGAAACGACCUCUUUUGGAUUUUGAUAAUUUGUCUAUUUCUGAAACGUUCCAGAAAGAGGAACUUAAAACUAAGAAGAUUUUUGUACAGCAUGUGGAGACACUGAGAAGCUCUGAGGCCUCAGUUGACAUUAUUCAGUCGUUCGUGGCACCUGAUGCUGCUGGCAACAUUGAAAAUAACCUAAAGAAUGAGGAGCGCAGAAGAAAUUUUAAGAGAGAGAGUCCAAGACAAGAACAGCUGUUGGUUAAAACUAGACAAGAACAAGAGGUUUUGGCAAAAAAAGCUAGAUUUGAGCAAAUAUGGAGAAGUAGGAAAGGGAUUAAAGAUCCCAAAGACGACCAAUUACAUGAUGCAUAUCAUAUUUAUGAUAUUGUUCGUCUUGAUACAAAUGAAACAUCAAGUGAAGCACCAAAGGCGGAGUGUAUGACUCUGGAGGAUCAAAGUAUGUUAUCAAGUUAUCUGCCUUUACUAAGAGAGUUUAUUCCAAGUGCUGCUGAAGAGAUUGAGUCAGAUAUAAAUGCAAACACGUUGAAACAAGAUUUGCCCGUAGAUGAUUAUGUAUAUGACUACUAUACUGUGAAGAAUAAUGUUCCGAUUGCCGAUGACGAUGCCUCUAAUCCAUUUCCUUUGAUACAAGUCGACGACUUGGAUCUAUAUGAUGGGCCUGAUGACUCGGAAUAUGAAAGUGAUGAUUCAAAUGCUGAAAACAAUCCACACUUCGAUUACCCGGAUGAGGCGUCUGAAGAAGAAGAGUUGGAAAGUGAAUCUACAAAUGAAGAAUCAGAAGAAGAUGACGAGGACAAGCAGUCCUCAGAAGCUAAUGAUCUAGAAGAGGACGACCUGUCAGAGAAUGGAGUUCAAUUAGACGAGGAUGAAAUAUAUGGUGAUUUUGAUGAAGACGAUGGCGAUAGUUUUGAUUACGAUAGUAAUGGUGGUCACGAAGAGGGUGAAGAUUGGAGAUGGUCCUACCGUUGAGUUUUUGGUAUUAUAGGACAGCUUUUUCGUCUUUGGGAGAGGGAUGUUUGUUCUAGCUUGUCCUAAAUCAGGCGGGCAAUGAAGCAAGCAUUCGGAUUAUUUGAUAUCUGAGUGCCACCAACAUUCAAUCAGUUGGGGGUUCAUAAGGAGCUACACAAUUUGAUUGAUUGGUGGGCACUGGCAAUAUAAGUCGUAGAUUAUUACAUUCUUGGAAGUCCUUCAUCUCUUUAGUUAGGUCUUGUGUAAUUUAUAUAAUCAAUGAAUGAAAUUUCAUUCAAAUUCUUCUACGGUCGACAGCUCGAUUACGCGUACAGUAACAUGUCGUUCUCAGAGAACAUAUGUCCACGCAUUUU